UACGUAGGGUCCGAGCGUUGUCCGGAAUUACUGGGCGUAAAGAGCUCGUAGGUGGUUUGUCGCGUUGUUCGUGAAAACUCACAGCUCAACUGUGGGCGUGCGGGCGAUACGGGCAGACUAGAGUACUGCAGGGGAGACUGGAAUUCCUGGUGUAGCGGUGAAAUGCGCAGAUAUCAGGAGGAACACCGAUGGCGAAGGCAGAUCUCUGGGCCGUAACUGACGCUGAGGAGCGAAAGCGUGGGGAGCGAACAGG
rnacentral:rRNA from 1 species